rnacentral:rRNA from 1 species
GUCGAGCGGACAGAAGGGAGCUUGCUCCCGGAUGUUAGCGGCGGACGGGUGAGUAACACGUGGGUAACCUGCCUGUAAGACUGGGAUAACUCCGGGAAACCGGAGCUAAUACCGGAUAGUUCCUUGAACCGCAUGGUUCAAGGAUGAAAGACGGUUUCGGCUGUCACUUACAGAUGGACCCGCGGCGCAUUAGCUAGUUGGUGGGGUAAUGGCUCACCAAGGCGACGAUGCGUAGCCGACCUGAGAGGGUGAUCGGCCACACUGGGACUGAGACACGGCCCAGACUCCUACGGGAGGCAGCAGUAGGGAAUCUUCCGCAAUGGACGAAAGUCUGACGGAGCAACGCCGCGUGAGUGAUGAAGGUUUUCGGAUCGUAAAGCUCUGUUGUUAGGGAAGAACAAGUGCGAGAGUAACUGCUCGCACCUUGACGGUACCUAACCAGAAAGCCACGGCUAACUACGUGCCAGCAGCCGCGGUAAUACGUAGGUGGCAAGCGUUGUCCGGAAUUAUUGGGCGUAAAGGGCUCGCAGGCGGUUUCUUAAGUCUGAUGUGAAAGCCCCCGGCUCAACCGGGGAGGGUCAUUGGAAACUGGGAAACUUGAGUGCAGAAGAGGAGAGUGGAAUUCCACGUGUAGCGGUGAAAUGCGUAGAGAUGUGGAGGAACACCAGUGGCGAAGGCGACUCUCUGGUCUGUAACUGACGCUGAGGAGCGAAAGCGUGGGGAGCGAACAGGAUUAGAUACCCUGGUAGUCCACGCCGUAAACGAUGAGUGCUAAGUGUUAGGGGGUUUCCGCCCCUUAGUGCUGCAGCUAACGCAUUAAGCACUCCGCCUGGGGAGUACGGUCGCAAGACUGAAACUCAAAGGAAUUGACGGGGGCCCGCACAAGCGGUGGA